GGCGCUCAGUCCACUGAGCCACACCAGCCAGAACCCAGAAAGGGCCAUUGUCUUAAAGCCCAUGGCCCUUUCAUGCAGACGUCUGGCACACCACCUGUGAUAAGGCCUUCAAGCAGUUCAGCAGUUUUUUCCAGCACGGGUUCACUCACCGGGCUUCCUGUACCUGGUCCUCCGCCCUGGCAUUCUGGGAUUACAGGGGAGUCAGCUCAGCACGUCCUGGUGCUCAGGACAGUGGAGACUGAGUCUGUUGCUGAGAUGGGCACAAAACGGAUGGCUUUAGCCAGCGAUCUGGGAAUUUUCCCCAGGUCUUCACCGUCCAGCUAGGGAGAUGUCAGUUGCAGAACUGGACUCUGGUUCUCUAAUGGACAAGGCUGUUCUCAUUUCUGGGCUGUGCUACCCAAGACGGAGUGAUCUCCAAUAAUAGGGCGUGCUGGAAGUCUACAGGUGGCAGGGGAGCAGGAGAAAGAUGGUCUCACUUCCUAGAAUGAUUAACCGUCUCCAUAUUCCCUUUAGUCUCACCCAAGAGGCAAGGGCCCCAGGUUUUAACUCUGCACUGGGUACCCUUUGAGACCAGGGUGUUCACUGUCUGGCCUCAGUGACCUGUCAGUGGACCAGGAAUGGAUGAUCUCCCCGCUGUGAGCAGCCAGAUGGUAGUGUGACUUGCCAAAUUGUGAUGACAUCUAUGUUCUUGCCUGCUCUUCCUUUCUCCCAGGUCACCCAUUUUGUUCUCCCUGUGCCUCCAAGUUCAAGUGGUCACUUACAUACUGACCACCAUGAGGUGCUCUCCACAGAUCCUGUGGCUGGAGAAGCAGUUCAGGAUGGUGCAAGGGCAGGUGGACCAGCUUCCACCAGGCCUUCUUACAAAUCUGCAAGAGCCUCACACAGUCAGCAUUGCAUCUCACACUCGGAACUCUGGACCUGAGUGUGUGGCUCCUAUGGAAAGCCAGUAAGGUGCUGCAGCAAUUACUGCCAUCUCCACCCACUCCUGACCUUCCUAGGAGUUGGCCCACGUACCCGGGUAUAUCCAUGGGGACGGAGGGGAGGAUGCUUCCUGGCUGGCUAUGGAGGCCCAGGCCAGAAGUUCUUGUGCACCCUUGACCUGAUUAUCAUUUUCCUCUUGCACUCCAGCCCUGAGGAUGGAUCGGCAUCAUACUAGUUGGCCCUGACUAGCUGUGUGACCCAGGGCUGGUGAAUACCCCUCUCUGGGCUUGGUGUAUGGGAAUGAUACUUGAUUCUUGUUUUCUUGUCCCGUAAUGCAUUACGUCUCAAGGUCUGGGUUUCCUCAGUUGUACCACGGACUUCAUAAUUCUAGCUCUAUGUUUUUGCUCUGUGGCAACAAACAACUCACUAGCCCUUAAUGGUUUUGGUUCCCACUUGAAGCUACCUUAUUUUCUUUUUGUAAAAAGUCUUCCUUGUGCGUAGUCUUACUUAUGAUAGAAAGACUGGCUCUUAGAGCUCGGAAGAAUAAAAUGUCACUUUUCGGAGAAAAGCCAACCCUUUUGUCUUCUUUUCGGCGUCUAUCACGUUGUCGGUGACUUUAUAGACUGGGGUUGCUUUGGUUUUUCCCGUUGCAGCCCGGAACCACUGUUUUCUGUGUUUGUUUCCCGCCGGGGCGGAUUUCCGGGACUCCCCAUCUGGCCUCAAUGGCGACGGGAGUGGGAGAUGGGAUUUGAGCUGUCCGGCUACAUCACCAACGCGCGGGGCCGCCCCCUGAGUUGUUUCCCAGCGCGUUCGGACCUAAGAGGUCACCGCACCGCGAAUCACUGCCGAGGGGUCGGGGUUGGGGUGAACCAGCGAGCGCUGUGCAAUGUCGGGAGUGCUAUGCUGAAACCAUAGAGACGCGGGGUAGAGGAGCCGGUGCAGUAGAGACGUCUCUGGGCAGGUAGAGAAGCCCUAAGCCCUGGGCCGAGGUCCCAGGAUUUGACAACUGGGGCGCACGUGUCUCCGGAUGUGGGAUGGAGAAGGCCUGAGCUGGACUUCAAGAGCUUCCUGGCCCCGGGGAGCCCUGCAUCUCCCACUCAGAACUGCGCACCGACUGCGCUCAAGCCUUUGAGCGCCCCAGCCGUCUACAGGUAUCGCUUCCUACACCAGCCCGGCUGGAGCCGGCUCACGCCUGCCCACUGUGCCCUGGCGUUUGCUGAGGCACGGAGCUCGCCUCACACAUCCCGGACCGCUAGGCUGGAAGGGCUUUUCUGGGUGUUGGGGGAGUCACAGGGCUCCACAGAAUCUUGUUUCUUGCUCCGAGAGUAGAGGCCGGGGCCUCACUGCUUACUGGCUGUGGAAUCUGAGCCAAGGGCCUGCCUCUCUGGGCCUCAGGUUCCUCAUUCCCAAAAUAGGGGAUGUCUUGUUCCCAGCUAUCUUGGCCAGGGUGAGAGGCAGGACAGACCCCUUUGACUGCCACAGCCCCUGUUUUUGGCCUGGGGUCAGUCACUGUACAAUUGUGGCACACAGUUCCCCAGCCUGUCGGUGGGAUGAGCUCCCAUUACCCAUGCACGAAUGAAUGGAGACAUGGGUAUUCCCGGUGAGCUACACAUGUCUGACUCUGUAUUGCUCCAUCGCUUCCUUGUAGCAGCUCAUGGUGCUUGCUGAGAAGGGCUCGAAUAAACAUUUGUUAGUCUUG